rnacentral:rRNA from 1 species
CUUGCUGGGUGGAUCAGUGGCGAACGGGUGAGUAACACGUGAGCAACCUGCCCCUGACUCUGGGAUAAGCGCUGGAAACGGCGUCUAAUACUGGAUACGAGUAGCGGCCGCAUGGUCAGUUACUGGAAAGAAUUUUGGUUGGGGAUGGGCUCGCGGCCUAUCAGCUUGUUGGUGAGGUAAUGGCUCACCAAGGCGUCGACGGGUAGCCGGCCUGAGAGGGUGACCGGCCACACUGGGACUGAGACACGGCCCAGACUCCUACGGGAGGCAGCAGUGGGGAAUAUUGCACAAUGGGCGGAAGCCUGAUGCAGCAACGCCGCGUGAGGGAUGACGGCCUUCGGGUUGUAAACCUCUUUUAGCAGGGAAGAAGCGGAAGUGACGGUACCUGCAGAAAAAGCGCCGGCUAACUACGUGCCAGCAGCCGCGGUAAUACGUAGGGCGCAAGCGUUAUCCGGAAUUAUUGGGCGUAAAGAGCUCGUAGGCGGUUUGUCGCGUCUGCUGUGAAAUCCCGAGGCUCAACCUCGGGCCUGCAGUGGGUACGGGCAGACUAGAGUGCGGUAGGGGAGAUUGGAAUUCCUGGUGUAGCGGUGGAAUGCGCAGAUAUCAGGAGGAACACCGAUGGCGAAGGCAGAUCUCUGGGCCGUAACUGACGCUGAGGAGCGAAAGGGUGGGGAGCAAACAGGCUUAGAUACCCUGGUAGUCCACCCCGUAAACGUUGGGAACUAGUUGUGGGGUCCAUUCCACGGAUUCCGUGACGCAGCUAACGCAUUAAGUUCCCCGCCUGGGGAGUACGGCCGCAAGGCUAAAACUCAAAGGAAUUGACGGGGACCCGCACAAGCGGCGGAGCAUGCGGAUUAAUUCGAUGCAACGCGAAGAACCUUACCAAGGCUU